CCCAGUAAACGGCGGCCGUAACUAUAACGGUCCUAAGGUAGCGAAAUUCCUUGUCAGGUAAGUUCUGACCCGCAUGAAAGGCGUAAUGAUUUGGGCACUGUCUCAACAGCCCGCCCGGCGAAAUUGUAGUACCGGUGAAGAUGCCGGUUACCCGCGACAAGACGGAAAGACCCCAUGGAGCUUUACUGUAGCCUAAUAUUGGGUUUCGAUGUUGCAUGCACAGGAUAGAUGGGACACUGGGAAGCAGGUGCUUUGGCGCUUGUGGAGUGGCCGUUGGGAUACCAUCCUUGCGAUAUUGGAAUUCUAACCUGCGCCUUUGAAUCAAGGCGGGGGACAUUGUUAGGUGGGCAGUUUGACUGGGGCGGUCGCCUCCUAAAGAGUAACGGAGGCGUUCAAAGGUUCGCUCAGCUUGAACGGAAAUCAAGCAAAAGAGUGCAAACGCAGAAGCGAGCCUAACUGCGAGACUGACGGGUCGAGCAGUAACGAAAGUUGGAGUUAGUGAUCCGGUGGUAUGUGAGUGGAAAUGCCAUCGCUCAACGGAUAAAAGUUACCCUGGGGAUAACAGGCUGAUCUCCCCCAAGAGUCCACAUCGACGGGGAGGUUUGGCACCUCGAUGUCGGCUCAUCGCAUCCUGGGGCUGUAUUCGGUCCCAAGGGUUUGGCUGUUCGCCAAUUAAAGCGGUACGCGAGCUGGGUUCAGAACGUCGUGAGACAGUUCGGUCCCUAUCUGUCGUGGGCGCAGGAUAUUUGAUGGGAGCUGUCCCUAGUACGAGAGGACCGGGACGGACGUACCUCUGGCGCACCAGUUGUUCCGCCAGGAGCAUAGCUGGGCAACUACGUACGGAUCGGAUAAACGCUGAAAGCAUCUAAGCGUGAAGCCGACCCAAAGAUAAGAUAUCCCAUUGUUUCAAACAAGUAAGACCCCUUGAAGACUACAAGGUUGAUAGGCACGAUGUGUAAGUGGAGCGAUCCAUUCAGCAAGCGUGUACUAAUAGGUCGAGGGCUUGACCAC
rnacentral:rRNA from 1 species